UGGGUAAGAUCCACCGAAGUGGGUAGCCUUAACCGGAUGUGUCUGUUAACAGGUAAAGCCCGAAGGCUGUUCCCGUCCCUGUCAGGGGAGAUGCCAACCGUCUCUCCUUUCUACGAACACAAGCAACAGGUUGGUAAGUUUUAGUCUUCUCUACAAUUGGACAUUCUGUGGAUCAUUUGCAGAAACUGUUAACAAACUGUAAAAGCACAACAACAUGAGUAGGGAGAAGGAUCUGACACUGACUUUUUCGAGGCAGGCCUUCGACCCCAAACUCAAGAGAGCUCUCCAUCUUUCCCCAAAUUCUGACUACUUCUGUAUAUUUCCUAUUUCCUACGCUACCACUCAAGAAGGUGAUAUGGACGGACGAUAAGCUUCUGCAGACACACAACAAAUGCCAUG